AGCGAACCCGGCGCAGGGUUCCCGGACGAGGGUGCCGUACCCGGUGUGCGACAAGACGGCCUGC
ncrna:unclassified sequences ykkC-III RNA